UUCCACUCUUGCAGACUGAUCGCAACCUUGUCUGAUUUAGAGUUUACAGCAACCGUAUGAAGUAGGUGAUAGAAUUAUCUCUGUUUUACAGAUGAGAAAACUAGUGAAGAUAUUAACUAGUCCAAAGUCAUAUAGUUGAGAAAUCAUACAUGGAUACAAACUGAGAUCAUUCUAACUCUUGAAGCCAUGCUCUAAGCUGCUCUGCUCUACUAUUUCCCAGGAGUCUCUGAGUGAUUCUACUGCAGCCUCUGUCUGUCAUCCUGUGACCUGCAGAUACUGGGAGGAGAUCCAUAGAAAAGACUCCAGAACAUACGGAGGCUGGGAAAUCUGCUGGUUGAUUCCACCAUGCUGUCAUGGCUGCUGGCAUGCAUGAGUGAACAUAGAUCCUGAUAAAACACUUUGGCUAGAACCACCCAUUGGAAUGUUGUGGCCAGUACACUAGGAACACUUUGGACCCACCAGUGUAGCAGGUUCCCAUCCCUGAGAGAUUGGAGAACAAAGCCAGAGGCUGAGUACCAGCCCCCCAGAGUUAGAGCAUGCAGAUCAGAAAUGCUAAGCUGAGCCUUCACCCUAUAAAACUUUCCAGAUAUGAAUCUAGUCGACUGAACCCACCUCAUGUUACAGCCAAAUCCCUAAGGGCAUCAAAGAGGAUAAAAGCCAAAAAAAAAAAAAAAAAAAAAAAAA